GAUAACGGGACGCAUUCUACCUCCAGCCAAUAGGUAGAGAGGGAGGAGACAGGCACUGGAACGCUAUUGGCGGAUGGAGAUCACCCGUGUGAAUGAGCCAGUCCUCGCAUAGCCUGCAUGCUGAGAGUGACAGCUGGGCGCUGGGUCUCUCUCACUCGUGUGGUCUACUACGGUCACUGAACGCACGCUGCAGACAGACACUACGGGGGUUAUGGCAGCUGAGUUACAUACUCCAUAGUGGCAGAAGUUACCUAGCUGUUACAGCGCCUCCUGCUGGCGGCGGCCAGUACAGGCCUCCGGGAGAAUGUCUGUCUGCAGGAGGAGAGAGGAGGAGAGGGCUCGCUCGACUCCUGCAGGAGUUUACUUUUUGGUGAGAAAAAGCAAAUUUUUUUUCGAUUUUGGGUGUGGUCCACAAAAACAAGACUUUAUUUCUUUAGGAGCAGGAGUUUAUUUUUUGUUGAGAAAAACCAAUUUUGUAUUCAUUUUUGGGUGUGGUCCACAAAAACAAGACUUUAUUUCUUUAGGAGCAGGUAAGUGUCGUUGGCCUGUGUUGGAGCUUGUUUGUUGGAAGUGUCUGUAUGCUGUUUUUGACUGUCAUUUGUGUUCUCUUGUAGGAGUUUAUUUUUUGUUGAGAAAAACCAAUUUUGUAUUCAUUUUUGGGUGUGGUCCACAAAAACAAGACUUUAUUUCUUUAGGAGCAGGUAAGUGUCCUUGGCCUGUGUUGGUGCUUG